UCGGGAAUAUUGCGCAAUGGAGGAAACUCUGACGCAGUGACGCCGCGUGCAGGAAGAAGGUUUUCGGAUUGUAAACUGCCUUAGACAGGGAAGAAAAAGGACAGUACCUGUAGAAUAAGCUCCGGCUAACUACGUGCCAGCAGCCGCGGUAAUACGUAGGGAGCAAGCGUUAUCCGGAUUUAUUGGGUGUAAAGGGUGCGUAGACGGGAAGUCAAGUUAGUUGUGAAAUCCCUCGGCUCAACUGAGGAACUGCAACUAAACUAACUUUCUUGAGUGCUGGAGAGGAAAGUGGAAUUCCUAGUGUAGCGGUGAAAUGCGUAGAUAUUAGGAGGAACACCAGUGGCGAAGGCGACUUUCUGGACAGUAACUGACGUUGAGGCACGAAAGUGUGGGGAGCAAACAGGAUUAGAUACC
rnacentral:rRNA from 1 species